rnacentral:lncRNA from 1 species
AUGCCCAAUUGGAGGAAACUGAGGCCCAGAGGUGAAAGGUGUUUUGCACCACGAGAAGGAUGCCAUGAAAUGCUCUGCUCUCUUCUCUUUUCCUUGCUGUCCCCGGGGCUGGAGGAGCACAGGCCUCCCAGGCAGGGGCCCUGGCCUUGUUGGAUUCCCAUCUCCUUUCAAGGGUUGAGCCCCCAAGGGCCAGAAGUGAGAGGUGAGUCGGAGCAGGCAGGGCGGGAUGAGGAGGGACCCGACCUCCCAAAGGCUAGCCUGGGUAGGACCCCAGGGGCUGGCGGAGUCUCAGUUGGGAAGGGCUGGGGCCGGGCACAGGGUGUGGCAGGUGUGGACUUGACAGCAGACAGCUCCCUGGGGUUGUGGGGGUGGCGGGCUCCGGGCCAACGGCCUCAGCCAAGCUUGGGGAUGGAGUCCUGUAAAGCCUGAAGGGCCCGUGCAGAGUCCUCGAAUGCUAACCAGCAGGUCAGAGAACUGGCUUCUCUGUGACCCCUGACCCCGUAUUCCAAUUUAAUGAUGGCCAAAGCAGGCCUGACUCAGGCAUCCCGCCUGAGGGGAUGGGACUGAGAGCCCAGAGGAAGGCGUGAGGCCGGAGGCUCAGGAGACCCCCGGUUCCUCCAGGCCAUAGCCGGACAUCACCUGGUGGCCUGGCCCAGGCAGGUGAGGGCUAGAGUCUGUCCGUCCAGCCCCUCGGCGGGCCUGGUGGCCGGAGCGUUCCUGGCCGCCGCUGUGCGGUGCCUGUGGUAACGGGGCUGUUGGCGUUUUGCAAUGGGCCGGGGGUGGGGAGGCUGCGCACACAUGCUUCCUGUGGUGACUGGGCGCUUCCUGUUUUCUCAGGCGCCGGACUUGCUACUGCCGAUGUGGAAACAGGGGCAGCUGCAGCCCGGGUGGCUCCGGGCUGGGUGCCCCGACCCUGCCCAGAGGGGCCUAAGUGGGCCCGCCACCCCAGGCCCCGACUCGGGCAGUAAAUGGCCUGGGUUACCCGCCACACCAAGCCCCGUCCUUCCCCAUCCCCGACCGCUUCCGCCCAGAGGAAGGGGCCAGGCAGGGCUGUCCCUCAAGGCUGAGCAGGUGGUCCAGGAGGUCAGAGGUCCAGGUGGGAGCACUGGCCUCAGCUCUGUCGUUUGCUCACGGAGUAACUUUGGCCAUCCCUGCCCCACGGCAGACAUGGUCUCCCCUCGUAUGCGGUGAUCUGAAAUCUCUCACCCCUUUCUGCUCCAGUUCUGACGUCGCUUAGUUUUCCCGUCCCAAGAGCCUUAGCUUCGGGGGCAGGGGGUGAGCACUGAGACUGGGAUCUGGUUGGGGGGGGUUUUCUGGCCUCGGCCUUGACAGAGAAGGGACUUGGAGAGAAGUGGGCGGGGGGAGGUGGUUGGUCAGGUGGGGCAAGCAGACUUAGAACAAGGCGUGGAGGCGGGAAGGCCAGGAUCAGGUUUGGAGCUGCUUGGUGAUGGGCAUAUGGGCAUAUGGGUAGGUAGGUGACAAGGUUGAUCUGGAAGGAUUCAAAGUGAGAGAAAGAUGUUAGGAUGCUCUUUAUUCCUGCAGACUCUAGGAGAGUCUCUGAUACCCGCCCCCCAUUUUUCCUCAGAGAAAAGACAAGCAGUGGUUUGGAGAUCGGGGGCAGGGCCAGCCCUUCCCUUCCCUCUGCCAAGAUGAUGAGUGCCCAUGUGGUGCCAUCUGGGGACCUCAGGAGGGCCCUGAACCCGUGUCCCAUGCCAGGUGCCUGGAGUUCCACCGCCAGGGCCAGGCCUUAGAAUUUGGCAUUGCCCUCUUCCCUAAUGUGUUUUGUUUUGUUUUUAAGCUGCUCUUUCGAGACGGGGAGGGGAGAUGACUUUGCUUCUUGUUGAGUUUGCUGACAGCGUCUGACCUCAGGAAGAAGAGUUUCUUUGCAGGAAGGCCCAGGCCCGAGACCCCUGGGAACUACCAGUCCACUGACUGAGUUUGGCCACCCCUUUGGUGGAGGAAUCUUUGAGAUGCCCACCUCACGAGUAGCGCCCUCCCCGUAAAUCUCGAGGCCUGCCUACUGCAGACAGCAUGAGGACUGAUUCCAGCCAGAGGCCUCGGGGAUCCUAAGAUCCAGAGGCCCAGCCUGAAGGGCCAUCAGGCCUGCCUGGCCCCCACCAUCCCAUCUUCUGCCUUGGUGCCUUGGUGCCUUGGGUCAGCCCAAGUGCUGAGUUGGCGGCUCAGCAGCUGCUUCUGCCCAAGGAGGCCCAGUUAUAAAUAAGCCCAGUGUGGCCAAGUCAUCAAGUUCUGCCCCAGCUGCAUUACCUCAGUGACCACAGGUUGGGGCUGUCCAGACCCAGGCCCACCAGAACCUGUCCCCCCAGGCCAAAGCUGGGCCAGCCUUGGUGCCUGCUAGGGUCCUCAAAUCCAGGGUUUGAGCAUCUGCAGCCGCUCAGACCUGGACCUUCCUGGACACAGGCCACAGAAGGGGCAGGGCCCAUCCCGCCUGCACGGAGCCAGCAGCUAUUUACAAACCGAAACCGGGAGAAGUGAAGUGGCUGCGGCCAAAGUGGCUCCAGGCCCCCAGCCCCCACUCCCACUCCAUCCCCUGCGGCCCCCUCCCCCUCCCUCAUGGCUUCCUCUUUCCUUCCCCACACAGCUCCCCAACCUCCCACUGCCCGGCC